GCCCUUGUCGUUCAACGGAUAGGACGUAAGAUUGCGGAUCUUGAAAUCCAGGUUCGAUUCCUGGCAAGGGCA
rnacentral:tRNA from 1 species